rnacentral:rRNA from 1 species
GACGAACCGCCCGAACGUUGUUCGGAAUCACUGGGCUUAAAGGGCGCGUAGGCGGGCUGCCAAGUCCGGGGUGAAAUCCUCCAGCUUAACUGGAGAACUGCCUCGGAUACUGGAAGUCUCGAGGAGGGUAGGGGCAAGUGGAACCGUGGGUGGAGCGGUGAAAUGCGUAGAUAUCUGGAGGAAUACCGGUGGCGAAGGCGGCAUCCUGGACCGACAUUGACGCUGAUGAGCGAAAGCUAGGGGAGCAAACGGG